rnacentral:lncRNA from 1 species
UACCCACUUUCCUGCAUAUUUCCUUCUGAAGAAAGGAAGGUUUUCCUCCUUCCACUGUCUCUCAGGCUUACAGAGAUAUUUGUUAAUACUGAUAGUGAUGUAUGGUGCAUCAUCCUUCUGACAGUGGCACCCUGUAAUCUUGAUUGGUAAGUAGAUAGAUGGUCCUUCCAUAUUCAUGAUUCUAUUAUUAUGCUCUUAUUGCCACGGGAUGCCUAGAGGGCACAUCACGUUAAACUAGAAAUACUACUACUACUACUACUAAUUGAUUUUAUUUUAUUUCUCACAAUGAGAGCAUCCUGACUCCAGAGAUAAACUCUAGUGCCACCUAGUGACUGAACUAUUUAAUGACACUAUCAGCAUGCUUCAGGCUUCUGAUAAUCUUGGUGUUUUUUUCUAGAACCCUAAUGGUUAAUUGAUAUCUAUUUUGUAAAGCUACAAGAUUCAUGUGCCUCAUGAUGCAGCAGGUUUAGGGCACCUGCGCAGAUACGGCGCUUCAGGUUGUGGGCUUUUCACAUUGCGAAUAGGCCUCCGGAAUGGAUCCCGUUCGUGACCAGAGGUACCACUGUACCACUGAAGAAAACGCUUACUUUGGAGCACACAGAGCAAACACAACCUUUUUUUUGCACCCUUGAGAUUUCCUCUUCCUCUCAGUUCUUGAAAUCAGUCUGAGUCUUGGAGUACCUUUUAACAUAAAAAUACCAGAGUAGGCUCAUCAAUCUAUUUAAGAGUGUAUAGAGUUGUCAGGCAAUCACCUGUUUGAGCACUUGGGUCAGGAAUCUAUUUAAUAAUUAGUUUAUUUACUUAUUAAUAGUUGCUCCAUAAUUCUCUAGGCUGCUCACAAAGCGAGAAAAAGGGAUGUUGCAACUGGCUUAUAGUUAUAUACAUGUUCUGGGGACAGGCUAGGUUUCUUCAAGUGUGGUCUGAUUACUGCUUCACUUUAAAGAGGCUGUUACCACCUGCUCUGCCAAGAAGGAAUUUAAAACUUAUUGGUGUUUUCUUUUCUGUGUCCCUGAGAUGAACCUAUUCAACUAAUUAGACUUUUCCACCAAGAAGGGCAGGUGGGGUGUGUGUGUGUGUGUGGGUGUGUGGGUGUGUGUGUGUGUGUACUAGCACUUGUAUUGUGAACUAGUACUUCUAUUAUUUAUUUGUUUAUUAAAAUGUAUAUAUUGCUUUGAUUGCAGGAAAAAACCUCAAAGCAGAUUAUAAAAAAGUAACACUUGUAGAAGUAUACCUGGUUUUUCUAUUAUGGUAUCAUAUAUCUAACAUUGGGUAUCUUUUCCCAAUUUCUUUCCAAACAUUUCUGUUUUAUUUUUGUGUGACUAUAGCUGUCUCUUUAGUAUCUGGGAUUCAUUUGGCUUUGACUGUUACUUCUGUGAGGAAUGUUUGAGAGUGUAAGAUAGUAACAAAGAAGUUUAACAAGAAUUAGAAGGACAAAAUAUACUGCCACAGCUUCCCACACAGUGUGCAAUUGAUAUUAGACAUGGGAACAAAUUAUUUCAAGCUACUUUUAAGGGAAAUUGUGACUGCAGAUAGCAGUCAUAAACUCCAAUGUAUGUCCCCAUAGACUUAUAACACUGUAGUGAGCUGCAUAUUAAUGGCAUUCUUUCUACAGUUAAAAUAAAAUGGAAAUAUUUUAUUAAACUAACACAAGCAAGGAUAUACAUACAGCUUAGCAACAUUAGACUCUUGAUAAAUUUGAGCUACCCAUAGGCUCUUAUUAGAAAUUUCAAAAUCCUUUAUUUUAUUUUAACAUCCUAGGUACCUUUUUUUCCAUAAAUAUGUAUUGUUUUUACUAAGGUAUACUAAUUGAACCACAGAAUAAUUUGGGAGCUUCUAAUGAUUCUGAGCUUUUAAAAUUAUUAUUUUAUUUAAAGACAACAUCUCUUCUGUCUCGCAGCUUAAGGAUUUACACCAGAAGUUUCUUAGGCUACAGUGCCCACCUACUGAACUGGAAAAAGGAAGAAACCAGAUCAGCAGGGCCAGACUAGCCCCUAGGAAUAGUUACAACAUGCACCUGAUGAUGUGGCCUAUAGCCCACAAAAGCUAAUGCCAUAAUAAAUCUUGUUGGCCUUUAAGAUACUACAAAACUCUUUUUUUGUUGUUACAAAAGAUCAAUACUACUAUCCCUCUGGAAGUUACCUUCAGUGAAAACAUCUUCACAUGUGCAAAUGCAGGUUGAAAGUGUUUCAGUUUGACCCUGGUGUGGGGUAGAGAACUAGUAUAGACAGUGUCUGUAGUUGACUAGAUUGAAAUGAAUUUCCUCCAAUUCGGUUUGAAAAUGUAGGAAGUAGCAUUGGCAAUUAUAUUUGAGCUGUUUAUCAAGAAUGACAGAAAGAGGAACAAAAGACAUUCAGCUGUGGUCUCUCACUAUGUGCAAAGCACCCAACAGGUUACAGUGAUUCUAGGUAUUGCCAUGGUGGAUAAUUCUGCAUUAUCUUUCUAAGCUUCCUGCAAUAGGACUGGCUUGUGUGACAGCCCUUUUUCAGCAUGUGUGCUUUUGUCAUUGUCAACUCCACAGUCCUUUAGGCUGAUAAAGCUUCAAUGCCUUUGAAAUAUCCAGGUUUAACUGGCUUAUAGGAUAAACAAACAGCUUGAUACCGGUGAUCAAACUGAGAUUGGACUAUUUUUAGCAGCAUCUUUGUCUAGUCUCCCAGGUGUAAUAUAGAAUGUUCCUGGUCCUAAUGCAAAAGGGAUUUGAAGGAGGCAGAGUUGGCGUUUCAAGUUUUUCCAUGAGUCUUUUAAAUGAACUAUAAUUUCUGAAAGUUGCUUACUGACACCACAGCAACCAAUUUUCUCAGAGGCUGUGCCUAGGAAUGAUUUAUGUGGCCCUAGUAGAGCAUCCCCAACUUGCUUAGGAGCAGUGCCAUUGUAAAUCUCUUUGCCACGUUAUCAUGGGACAAGAAGAAUUGUGACAAAGGGCCUUAAAUAGAGUAGAACCCUUUAUUCAGUUUGAAAUUGUAUUUAGAUUACUAAUAUUGUAAGUUAGGUGCAACCUGUAACUUAAAUGCUGUAUAUGAUACUGUAUGGAAUGUUAAUGAGCCCUGUGGAGAUGUCAUGGAGGUGAUGGUCAGAUCCUGAGGAGAAAUGGGAAGAGUUCAGGGAAUUGGAGCUGGAUGACACUGUGGAGGGUCCUAGUGGGAUUGGGGAGGUGAUUUGGGAUUUCCAAGAAGUGUCUGAGCCCAGAGGGGAGGCCAAUAAUCCAGGGAAUGAGAACUUGAUCCAGGGGAGGGGUCAUAUGGGUUGGCAGAAGAAUGUUCUGCCCCUUUGAUAUUGGACACCCCUAGUUAGAUACCUCCUGCUGUAGAUUCACCCCUGGCACUGCUUCUGUUAGUGAAAUGUAAAUCAGAUGCUGAGCUAGGGCCAAAACUGUCUCCAUUUGCCAGCACCAGCAGGAACAUACCUCACAGACCUAACCUGCUUGAAGGAAUGCCUGUUUGCUCGCCCAAUCCCAAGACUGUUGCUGCUUGCCAUUCUAUGAGCUGUCCCUCAUGGGCGUAGCCAGAAUUUUUGUUAGGAAGGGCAGAACCUCAGUUAGCUAUGUAUUUUUAUUGAUUUGGGGGGCAGCUGGCCUUCCCCGCCCCCCUGGCUAUGCCCAUGUCAUUUGUUGUAUCAAUAUAUUUAUUUGCACUUGGCCAGUUGUCUUUCCUCUUAGGUACCUGCUGCACCUUGUAACUUGUAACUUGUGCCUUGCCUAUGUGCUGACCUGAUUUGUUCACUAAAGCCUCUAUCAGAAUUACAGCUGCUGGCAGUGAAGACAGGACAGUUUAUAUGAUUUCUUUUCUAUUUUAUAAUUCAUUCAUGUAUAUGUUAUUCAAUUUAAAUCACUUGGAGACCUGUUUGAUGACAAAUGAAAAACAAAUAAGCAAACAAACACAGAAAGAUUUUUGGUGUGACUUGGAGAGCUAAAGAAUGUAGAAACCUUUGUUUUAACAGUUCUUAGAAAUCAAAUUUUAAUUAAUGUGUUUUGUUCUGCACUCCUAAUGAUUUGUUCUAGGUUACUCCCUAGAACUCCCACGGAACUCAUGUGGGCAUAUGAACUUAAUAUAGUGUGUAAGGAGGGCAAUGUCCAUGCCAAAAAUCAAUGAGAAUUCCCAUGUAAAAUCCUUUUUCAUUAUGCUUACCAUGAAUGGGUAGUCAGCAAUUAACAUAGAGUACAUUUUAACAAGACUAAAGUACAGAAGAUAGCAGUCUACUCUGGGCUAUCCGGUAGUAAUUUAUAUAUGUAGGAAAGCAAAGGAGGCAAGUGAGAACUACGUUAGAGACUGUCUCCCUGUUCUUCUCCCAUCUCUCCCAGGCCACCUGACAUCUUGCUCUGUGAUAAGGUUCCUGAUGAGGUAUCUUUGAAUGUGAUUGUAUUAAUGUGUUUUGAUCUUACUUGUAAGCCACAUUGGACAGAUCUGUUUCCUUUAAAGUUGGAAUGUAAAUAGUAAACAAAUGAAUAGCCUAUAGUUCUGGAACUCACUCCCUUUUGUAGCCUUACCAAAAUUCAAACAGCAAUAUUUCCUUGAAAUAGUAUAAUGGACUUUUUGCACAUUACAAUAAACCAUGAUUUAUGGCUUACCAUUAAUGAACAGUAUUACUGUGACAUAACUUUAAUUAAAACCUAAAUCCAGAUACACUGCUAUCACUAGUGAGGGGGAAAGGGGAAAUGGAUAUAACGGUGGGGGUGGUAGCCGUUUUGUUGCUCACAGUUCAUUGUUUUGUUUAAGAGCCUCAGAAAGGCUUCCUUGCUUGAGUGGUGCAGCAAAGGAAGACACAGUCUUUAUAGAAAGAUAACAUUUAAGGCAGUGGUUUUCAACCAGUGUGCCGUGACACCCUAGGGUGCCUUGAGUCAUGGCCAGGGGUGCCACGGGCAAUACUGGCCUCCUCUUCUUUCCUUCCCUCCCUCCUCUGAUACCCUCUCACGUCUCUGCCUCCCAGAGACUUGUACAGCUGUUUGGUACAGCAGCCCUGGCAACAAGCUCUCCAAGUGAAUGGUGCUGCUGGGGCUGGCCAGGGGGUGCUACUCAGGCCCCUGUGGGCCGUGGGAGGGGAGCUCAGAGAUGAGGGGCAGCAGCUGCAUUCGCCCAGAGGACUCCCAAGGAGAGGGGAGAAGAGAGAAGUCCGAGGGAACACUCCACAAGGAAGGGUCUUUGAAAAACGGUGAGAGGCUGCCAGUUCUGCAGGCAAGGAGUGACAUAACUGGGCUCCUGAGCCCCACAGGGGCGCCGCACAAAGAAUGUAGUUGGUCAAGCGAGCCCUGGACCCAAAAAUAUUGAAAACCUCUGAUUGCUUAAACAGUACAGGCAGUAUUCUUUAAACAGUAUAGGCAUGUGAGGGGUGGGGAAGGGACAGAAUGUGCUUCUUGUCACAAGUGAUUUCAUACCCCAUACAUGUCUGUGUCCCUCCUGCACAUCUGCUCUAUGUAG